UGGCAAAGGUGCCACUCAUGUCACCAGGACUGUUGUUUGAAUGGACGUUUCAAAUUGACUUCUAGAGUCAAUUUAAAGGUAUUUUCACUAUUAGCGUAUAGGGUUAAUUUAAGGAAGAGACUGGGUUGACACAACAGUUUACAUUCGUCCGAAGUCGUUACGUAUUUUUACGAGAGAAAGUACAACGCACGUGAAACGCGCGAAACCAGUCAGUUGUAACGUUCAUGGCGGCAGCACGCGGUGGAGAAGCAAGUUCAUUUAAUUGCUCGCAGUUUUCUUGUUUGAUAGGACAAGAUUCUCGCUUUUCUUCAGCUUGUAAGGAAAAUUUAAUCCAUUGUGAAGUAAGUAAUUUAUCCAUCGCUUCUCACGAAAAAAAAGAUGAUGAAAUAUGGACAUUGAGGUUGGAAAGCAGCGAAAAAGACCAUGAAAUAUGGACAUUGAGGUUGGAGCUCAGCACAAUGAAGUUGCAACUCAGCAAACAAAACGAUGAAAAUCGGAGAUUGAAGUUGCAAAACAGCGAAAAAGACAAUGAAAUAAGGAGCUUGAAAGAAGAACUAAAGGAAUAUAGGGAAAAAGAUCGAAAUGUGCCCGACAAACGUGUUCAAGUCAAAAAGGCUUCAGGUGGGCAAGAAACAUUGAAAGAGGCUCCUCUUUCAAAAGAAGAAACUGGUGAACUACAUAGAGAUCCAACACUGUCAAGGGAUGAACAGAAAUCGCCAAAAAAGGCAAUUCAAGUCUGUAAUGAAAAAAUGAAGAUUCUACGCCAGAGGCAAUUUGUCAACAGUUCCCAACAGCAAGGGAACAUACUGACAAGUCAGUUGUAAAUGAUAUUUCGCCAGACAAAGACAAUGAGCCGGGAAACGUGAAUAACAAUUCGAUAGAAGAGCUUGCGCACGAAACAAAUACAAGUGAUGAGGAAAAUGGCUUUAGUUCUCAACGCAUAUUAAUUGGUGAAACCAUUGAUCAAGUGCCAUGCACCCGUGAUAAAUUAUCAGACAGCAAAUUAACGCCAUUGGAGACAGACGUGCCAGAGGCAAUUUUUCAACAGUUCACAACAGCAAAGGAACAUACUGACAAGUCAGUUGUAAAUGACAUUUUGUCAGACAAGGAUAAUGAGGUCAGUUGGUUUGUGAAAGCAGACCAUUAACAAUACAAUAGUUGGUGAUAGUCUAUGGAAAUUUUUGAAGAUCCAAAUUUAAUUGGAAUGGGUUUAGAGUGUGGAUUAUUGGAGGAAAAUAGAAGUGCAUGAGGUGUACCGUGAAAAAUUUGCCGUUUAGAUUUAAGAAAUUAUAUAAAACAAAACUA